rnacentral:lncRNA from 1 species
GAUAAAACUUGCCACUGGAGAAACCAUAGCUGUAUGCUGCCUGGGACCUCUCAGGUACCCACAGAAGCCAGCAUGUCUUGGGUCCUACUUUCUGUCCUGUGGCUCAUCAUUCAAACUCAAGUAACAGAUACCACAUUAACCGCUGAGUUAAAGCCUCAGAAAAUAGUUCAUCCUAAAAAACUACCCAUUUCACAGAGAAGAGGGCUUGAGAACAACCAGACAGAGAGCUAUGCCAAAGAGGAACGAUAUGCACCAGAAGUUCAAUAUCAGAUCAUACUAAAUGGAGAAGAAAUCAUUUUUCACCUAAAGAGAACCAAGCAUCUUCUGGGGCCAGACUACACUGAAAUAUCUUACUCACCCAGAAGAGAAGAGAUGACCAGACGUUCUCAGAAUGUGAAACCCUGCUACUAUGAAGGCCAUAUCCAGAACGCA